rnacentral:misc_RNA from 1 species
GAUGAAGAACGUAGCGAAAUGCGAUAAGUAAUGUGAAUUGCAGAAUUCAGUGAAUCAUCGAGUCUUUGAACGCACAUUGCGCCCCCUGGUAUUCCGGGGGGCAUGCCUGUCCGAGCGUCAUUGCUGCCCUCAAGCACGGCUUGUGUGUUGGGCCCCCGUCCCCGGUUUCCCCCGGGGACGGGCCCGAAAGACAGCGGCGGCACCGCGUCCGGUCCUCGAGCGUAUGGGGCUUUGUCACCCGCUCUGUAGGCCCGGCCGGCGCCAGCCGACACCCAACUUUAUUUCUAAGGUUGACCUCGGAUCAGGUAGGGAUACCCGCUGAACUUAAGCAUAUCAAUAAGCGGAGGA